rnacentral:lncRNA from 1 species
GACCGGAUUCUUCACGACGGACGGACUCCACCCAAGUUUCUACCUGCUAGACUUCGUCCGGACUCCUACGGGAGCCGGACUUCAUCCCCGACUUCAACUGUAGGUAGACUUCGUCCGGACUCCUACGGGAGCCGGACUUCAUCCCCGACUUCAAUUGCAGUAGACUUCGUCCGGACUCCUACGGAAGCCGAACUUCGUCACCGACUUCAACUACAGGAAGACUUCAUCCGGACUCCUACGGGAGCCGGACUUCGUCCCCGACUUCAACUGCAGGAAGACUUC